UGGGGAAUUUUGGACAAUGGGCGAAAGCCUGAUCCAGCAAUGCCGCGUGUGUGAAGAAGGCCUUCGGGUUGUAAAGCACUUUUGUCCGGAAAGAAAUCCUUGGCUCUAAUACAGUCGGGGGAUGACGGUACCGGAAGAAUAAGCACCGGCUAACUACGUGCCAGCAGCCGCGGUAAUACGUAGGGUGCAAGCGUUAAUCGGAAUUACUGGGCGUAAAGCGUGCGCAGGCGGUUUGCUAAGACCGAUGUGAAAUCCCCGGGCUCAACCUGGGAACUGCAUUGGUGACUGGCAGGCUAGAGUAUGGCAGAGGGGGGUAGAAUUCCACGUGUAGCAGUGAAAUGCGUAGAGAUGUGGAGGAAUACCGAUGGCGAAGGCAGCCCCCUGGGCCAAUACUGACGCUCAUGCACGAAAGCGCGGGGAGCAAACAGGAUUAGAUACCCUGGUAGUCCACGCCCUAAACGAUGUCAACUAGUUGUUGGGGAUUCAUUUCCUUAGUAACGUAGCUAACGCGUGAAGUUGACCGCCUGGGGAGUACGGUCGCAAGAUUAAAACUCAAAGGAAUUGACGGGGUCAUAGCUGUUUCCU
rnacentral:rRNA from 1 species